rnacentral:rRNA from 1 species
UACGUAGGGGGCGAGCGUUGUCCGGAAUGAUUGGGCGUAAAGGGCGCGUAGGCGGCGACAUAAGUCUGAAGUGAAAGUCCCAAAUUCAAGUUAGGAAUUGCUUUGGAAACUAUAUUGCUUGAGUGCAGGAGAGGUCAUCGGAAUUCCCGGUGUAGCGGUGAAAUGCGUAGAGAUCGGGAGGAACACCAGUGGCGAAGGCGGGUGGCUGGACUGUAACUGACGCUGAUGCGCGAAAGUGUGGGGAGCAAACAGGAUUAGAUACC